UGCAGUCGAGCGGANCGACGGGAGCUUGCUCCCUUAGGUCAGCGGCGGACGGGUGAGUAACACGUGGGUAACCUGCCUGUAAGACUGGGAUAACUCCGGGAAACCGGGGCUAAUACCGGAUGCUUGAUUGAACCGCAUGGUUCAAUCAUAAAAGGUGGCUUUUAGCUACCACUUNCNGAUGGACCCGCGGCGCAUUAGCUAGUUGGUGAGGUAACGGCUCACCAAGGCGACGAUGCGUAGCCGACCUGAGAGGGUGAUCGGCCACACUGGGACUGAGACACGGCCCAGACUCCUACGGGAGGCAGCAGUAGGGAAUCUUCCGCAAUGGACGAAAGUCUGACGGAGCAACGCCGCGUGAGUGAUGAAGGUUUUCGGAUCGUAAAACUCUGUUGUUAGGGAAGAACAAGUACCGUUCGAAUAGGGCGGCACCUUGACGGUACCUAACCAGAAAGCCACGGCUAACUACGUGCCAGCAGCCGCGGUAAUACGUAGGUGGCAAGCGUUGUCCGGAAUUAUUGGGCGUAAAGCGCGCGCAGGCGGUUUCUUAAGUCUGAUGUGAAAGCCCCCGGCUCAACCGGGGAGGGUCAUUGGAAACUGGGGAACUUGAGUGCAGAAGAGGAGAGUGGAAUUCCACGUGUAGCGGUGAAAUGCGUAGAGAUGUGGAGGAACACCAGUGGCGAAGGCGACUCUCUGGUCUGUAACUGACGCUGAGGCGCGAAAGCGUGGGGAGCGAACAGGAUUAGAUACCCUGGUAGUCCACGCCGUAAACGAUGAGUGCUAAGUGUUAGAGGGUUUCCGCCCUUUAGUGCUGCAGCAAACGCAUUAAGCACUCCGCCUGGGGAGUACGGUCGCAAGACUGAAACUCAAAGGAAUUGACGGGGGCCCGCACAAGCGGUGGAGCAUGUGGUUUAAUUCGAAGCAACGCGAAGAACCUUACCAGGUCUUGACAUCCUCUGACAACCCUAGAGAUAGGGCUUCCCCUUCGGGGGCAGAGUGACAGGUGGUGCAUGGUUGUCGUCAGCUCGUGUCGUGAGAUGUUGGGUUAAGUCCCGCAACGAGCGCAACCCUUGAUCUUAGUUGCCAGCAUUCAGUUGGGCACUCUAAGGUGACUGCCGGUGACAAACCGGAGGAAGGUGGGGAUGACGUCAAAUCAUCAUGCCCCUUAUGACCUGGGCUACACACGUGCUACAAUGGGCAGAACAAAGGGCAGCGAAGCCGCGAGGCUAAGCCAAUCCCACAAAUCUGUUCUCAGUUCGGAUCGCAGUCUGCAACUCGACUGCGNGAAGCNGGAAUCGCUAGUAAUCGCGGAUCAGCA
rnacentral:rRNA from 1 species